UCAAACUGGACAUACAGAAACUGUGUAAGGCGAUGGUGCCGAAGAACCUUUAUAAGCUUCCAAGGAUUCGCGGUUUUAGGCAGAGAAGCAGGAUUUUUUUUCAGCUUACAAGGGAUCGCGCAGAGAAUUAGGGUUCGGUUUUCUUUCUUUUUACUGGAACGUUAGAAAGAGAGAGAGAGAGUUUUUCUUUGAUUUGAGAGAUAAUUAAGGAGAGAGAAGUUGGGUUAGAGUUUCUCUGGUUACAGAGAAGGGUAGGGAGAGAGAUUAUUAAGCAGAGAGAGAAAGGGUUGGGGUUUCUCUGGUUUUCAAUUUUCUCCAGAGAGAAGGGUAGAGAGAAGUAGGGGUAUAGAAAGUAGGGUGGGAAACACUUACCCUGACACAGAGAAGAAGUGACCUUAAGAUGAACCAGUUCCAGCAAGAUGACUGAAGAGACCAGUUCCAGCAAGAUGACUGAAGAAACCAGUUCCAGCAAGAUGACUGAAGAGAAGAAGACGAUCGUCUUGAGAAGUGGUGAUGGAGAGAUUUUUGAAGUUGCACAAGAGGCUGCUCUACAAUGUGAGACAAUUAAGAACAUCAUAGAGGAUGGGUGUACUCUUACUGAGAAGGGGAUCCCACUGCCUAAUGUUUCGGGCAAGAUUCUUUCGAAGGUAAUCGAGUACCUCAAUCACCAUAUGAAGGACCACAAGGGAAAGGGGAAGGAUGGAGAGGAAGAAGAGAAGAAGGCUGAGAAAGACCUCACGAAGUGGGAUGAGAAGUUUGUCGAGGUUGAUUGGCCAACCCUUUUUGAUAUCACACUGGCGGCAGAUUACCUGAACGUGAAGAAUUUGCUUGACAUGACUUGCUUGACUAUCGCAAAUCACAUGACUAAUAAGAGCCUUGAAGAGAUCUGGAAGAUUUUUGGAAUUGAAAAGAUCUUUCGCCUGAAGAAGAGGAUGAAUUGAGGGAGGAAAACAAGUGGGGUAUGGAAUGAGGGCGCUCUUUUCUUCUAUAGUACUCUCUUUUCAAAUAAUUUUGUUUUAGGACACUGGAAUUUUUUGUUUUAGAACCAUAGCUAAGUGAUUUACAUGGUGGAUUUUGGCACUUGGUAUCAAUACCAUGAGUCCCAUUAGUGUUGAUUUUUUGGUGAUUUGGGCAUGUAAGUACAAUUGGAUUAAUGUGAAGGCUUGAGUUGCAGAUUUUGUAAAGAUGUUACAAGGGAAAGUCAAUGGGAAACUGGAGCACCUAGAGCCCUUGUAGCCCCAGCCCUUUCUGAAUCAGUUUUUUUUAGAAACCUCCCUUUAUAUUUUUGUGAAAGGAAUAUUUUGAUGAAGAGAGAGAGAAUAAAGAAGCGUAGAGGAGGAGCAGCUAAGAUCUCAUUUCUUACACAAGUAUACUGCGUAACGAUUGAAUUUUGGUCUCUAGAAGCAGUAAAUGAAUAUUUCCUUGGAUCUCACAUAGGAUAAAAUAGAAGUCCUUUUGAUUUGGGAUAUAUAUUCUACACCACAUAUGAAUAUAAUUAGGGUACUUUUCUUGGCUUCUGAAAGAGGCAUCUUGGGCCUUUGGGUUUUACCUUAGCACCAAGUCCGGAGAACUUCUAUUGGCUUCAUUUAAUGCACUUUUUAUAGAAUUUGUGAUUCCUUUGUGGCCAUGAGUCAAGGGACAUGCAUCCCAUCAUGGGUUGGUAUUGCGUCCAAUUUGAUCCAAGCUCGGUAUAGUUGGGCGCACUGGAAGUGGCAUGUCCGCUUUGAUCCAAGCUCUUCCGUCUUAUUGAACCUGCGGAUGGAAAGAUAAUUAUUGGUGGCAUUGAUAUCUCCACAAUUGGCCUUCGUGAUGUGCACACUCGUCUUAGUAUCAUUCCCCAAGAACCUGCCUUUUUUGAAGGAAUCAUUAGAGGCAACCUUGAUCCCCUUGAAGAGCAUUCUUGAUCUUCAAGUAUGGGAGUUCCCAGGCACUUGAAGGGUGUCAGCUUGGAGAAAUUGCCAGCAGAAAAGAUCGAAGCUUGAAACUCAGUUCUGGAAAAUGGAGAUAACUGGAGUUGGGCAGUGGCAGCUUGUGUCACUGGGUCAAGCCCUUACGAAUCAGGCACGUAUGUUGGUGCUCGAUGAAGCAACAGCAUCUGUUGACACGGUCACAGAUAACUUAAUUCAGAGGAUCAUUUGAACAGAGUUUUGAGACUGCACGAUCCUCACUAUGGCACAUCGUAUCCUCGGUUCUAGUUCUUAGUGAUGGGCCCUUGUGUUCCGUGACGAAUAGAUAUCUCCAAACCAUGCUCUGAUCUGAAUUCCCCUUCUCCAUAUGAAAUGCAACAUCCUAUGCCAGAUGUGAUACUGGUGAGAAAUUACAGUCGCCUUCGAGGAUCACAACGCUCUUCUUGCAGAGGUGCAAGUCAUAAGUUAUGCUCAAGCAUUUCUUCUAUUUGUUUGUUGAUUAUCGAGGAUCACAUCGCUCUUCUUGCAGAGGUGCAAGUCAUAAGUUAUGCUCAAGCAUUUCUUCUAUUUGUUUGUUGAUUAUCGAGGAUCACAUCGCUCUUCUUGCAGAGGUGCAAGUCAUAAGUCAUGCUCAAGCAUUUCUUCUAUUUGUUUGUUGAUUAGUGUUUUUUCUAGGUCUCUAGACUUUUUCGAUAUAGAAAUUGGGUUACCCGAAUGCAUGUCUUAGGCCAAGGACAGGGCGCCCUUCUUUUGCAUAUGUUUUACAAUACAUUCAAUCUAAAUAACGUUUUUACCAGA